UACGAAGGGGGCUAGCGUUGUUCGGAUUUACUGGGCGUAAAGCGCACGUAGGCGGAUUGUUAAGUCAGGGGUGAAAUCCUGGAGCUCAACUCCAGAACUGCCUUUGAUACUGGCAAUCUAGAGUCCGGAAGAGGUGAGUGGAACUCCUAGUGUAGAGGUGGAAUUCGUAGAUAUUAGGAAGAACACAAGUGGCGAAGGCGGCUCACUGGUCCGGUACUGACGCUGAGGUGCGAAAGCGUGGGGAGCAAACAGG
rnacentral:rRNA from 1 species